GACGAACGCUGGCGGCGUGCUUAACACAUGCAAGUCGAACGGAAAGGCCCUGCUUUUGUGGGGUGCUCGAGUGGCGAACGGGUGAGUAACACGUGAGUAACCUGCCCUUGACUUUGGGAUAACUUCAGGAAACUGGGGCUAAUACCGGAUAGGAGCUCCUGCUGCAUGGUGGGGGUUGGAAAGUUUCGGCGGUUGGGGAUGGACUCGCGGCUUAUCAGCUUGUUGGUGGGGUAGUGGCUUACCAAGGCUUUGACGGGUAGCCGGCCUGAGAGGGUGACCGGCCACAUUGGGACUGAGAUACGGCCAAGACUCCUACGGGAGGCAGCAGUGGGGAAUAUUGCACAAUGGGCGGAAGCCUGAUGCAGCAACGCCGCGUGCGGGAUGACGGACUUCGGGUUGUAAACCGCUUUCGCCUGUGACGAAGCGGGAGUGACGGUAAUGGGUAAAGAAGCACCGGCUAACUACGUG
rnacentral:rRNA from 1 species